rnacentral:lncRNA from 1 species
CACACACACACACACACACACACACACACACACACACACCAUAGUUUCAAGUCAGAGAAGUUCGUGUACUUAAUUUGUCAAGCACAAAGUAAGCUCUGUGUCCCCAGAAGUGAGAUCAAGGAGACCCAGAACGCCUGCUGGAGACGACGCUGGAUUAGCUAGGAAUUAUCCCUGGCUGAAGUCUUGGGCCUGCCAAGCUUCUCCAUGUCCAGACUAAACAGAUGGGGGUAGCAGGACAAUGUUAGAGGUCAAGCAAGCAUCACUGCCAAGACUGUAAUGGAAAGAACAGGAGCCAAUGAGGUGUCAAGCCUUAACAAUCCAGUGCCAAGGAAGACAUGUGAUGAACGGGGCUGAGAAAUCAAGAUCAAGGCGUGAGCAAGUGCCAUGUCCGGUGAGAGCGACCAUCUUCCAGGAUGGCUCUUCGAAUACUGAGUCCUCAAAUGGUGGAGAAGCAGAAGGGGAGAAAAGAUCAUAUCAUGCAUGAAGCCUCUCUUCUCAGAGCCUCACUACCAUUUAUAAAGAUCCACAUGACUGAGCCAGGUUCCCACUGCAGACGUUAAUCACACAGACAUAAAUCUGAGGAGGCA